rnacentral:tmRNA from 1 species
GGGGAUGACAUUGGUUUCGACGGGGAUAGUGAAUUUGGAAUAGCGAGCCGUUUUCGUCUACAAACGUUAAAAAAGGACAACUAAAUUUAAACGCAGAAGAUAAUUUUGCAUUAGCUGCCUAGUCGCAGCUUUUAAUCUCACUUUGCUCCCCGCAGCAAUUUUGAGAUUUCAUAAUUAGCGGGAAACCCAAUAAGAAGGGCUUCGAGCUUAUUGGAGUAUAAGAAGCUACCUGACAGAAAGAUUUGUUUGUUGAACUUUUUGAAGGGGAACUUUGAUCAAUAAACUGCGCUCGGAGAAAUUCCCUUGGAUCUAUUUUCGGACAUGGGUUCGACUCCCAUCAUCUCCACCA